rnacentral:sRNA from 1 species
ACACGUGAAGGGAGGUGGUUCGGAAGUGAUGUCAUUUCGGACUCGUGAGGUGACUGCGGGCUGACGGCCCGUCGUCGCACUUAGUGCAGGCCGACAGAUCGUCGGCCGAAAUCCCAGCAGUCACUGACCCGCGGGCUCGCCGGUAAGUCCGGCCGGCUCCUCUUCGGAGGGACCAGAGCCCGCGGGUUUCUGCGU